CUCACAGUAGAUUCAAACCCGGGUCUCUCACACGAAAAGCGUGUCUUAUCCACUGUGCCAUAACCACCCCAAAAAACCCCACAUAAUUAUGAGUAAGAAACAAGACUUCGAAUUGGAGCUGUGCUGAGAAAACAUGGCGGAUGCUAUAGAUAUGGAUGCAGAGUCUGUACUUUACAGUAAAUUUGUUUAAAUUAAUAACAUUUUUUUUAUUUACAAUAAGUUGCAUGUACAUAAUACAACCGUAUUGUACAUUUACAAUUUAAUAUAAAGAUUCUUUUUACAGCGCCUUCAUGAAUUGAAUAAAAUCACAAAAAAGCAAAAACACACCUGAUGUGCAAGACAUCAUUUUUGUAAUGUAGAAAAGGUACAUGAACAUGCUCUGAUCAGUGUAAAUACCUCCCAUAUUGUAAAUACGAACUUCCCAGAAGGGCUUGAAAGCACUUACCGAAGUGAAUUGGCUGCUGUUUUCACAAGCUCUGUUGGUGAAUGUCUUGAUGGUUUUAUUAUGCUGUUUCUAGCAUGUCCUGAUCAUGGCGAAGAUGAUUUUGGCCUUCAUGAUCCCUGAUGAACCGGAUUGGGUCCGAAUCAAGAGAGAACAAAUCGAGUUUCACUCGAUGCAAGCGCUUAAGAAACAGAGGAUCAAGAGCUCUCGUGUGGAUGAUAAACUCCCUCCGAAGGCCAAAAUGGGAGAGUGACAAAGGACUAUUUCCAUGGAGACAAUCACAAAAGAGGAGGUGCUUGGCCAUGCAGUCACAUCACUUAGCUACUGUAUACUUAGCUUGCUAAUGUACCAUAUGGCACAGUUUACCAAAGAUAACUUCUACAGUUUACAGGGUUUAUAGUUAAAAAUUGUUUGCAUCAGUGGUACCUUUUUGAUAACAGAUGAUUAAGGUCAAGAUGAAAAAAUGAUGAUAGUGGGUUAACAACAUAGACCCAUUAUGUGCUGUAUUAAUGAAUUUAAAAUAAUAGUUCACCUCAAUCACUAUGGUAUAGUAUUUUCCCGGUUGCUGUUCUUUUUGUAUAUUUGCUUUCUCAUUUUUUUUGUAAAUAUAUUGACAAUUUUAACUGUUGUAUUUUAAAUGUCAUCAAAAAGGAUCGUGCUCUUACAACCGGUAUAAAUAACCACGCAAUGCUUGCUUCACUGAAUGUCAUAUGAAUGUAUAUUGAUGUAAAUGGCCUUGAAGAAAACUAAAAAUAAAUAUUCAAAUGGUUUUAAACUGAGAAAGCCA